CCNUUGAAGGCUUUGGAAACUGUUUAACUUGAGUGCAGAAGGGGAGAGUGGAAUNCCAUGUGUAGCGGUGAAAUGCGUAGAUAUAUGGAGGAACACCGGUGGCGAAAGCGGCUCUCUGGUCUGUAACUGACGCUGAGGCUNGAAAGCGUGGGGAGCGAACAGGAUUAGAUACCCUGGUAGUNCACGCCGUAAACGAUGAGUGCUAGGUGUUAGGUCCUUUCCGGGACUUAGUGCCGCAGCUAACGCAUUAAGCACUCCGCCUGGGGAGUACGACCGCAAGGUUGAAACUCAAAGGAAUUGACGGGGGCCCGCACAAGCGGUGGAGCAUGUGGUUUAAUUCGAAGCAACGCGAAGAACCUUACCAGGUCUUGACAUCCCGAUGCCCGCUCUAGAGAUAGAGCUUUACUUCGGUACAUCGGUGACAGGUGGUGCAUGGUUGUCGUCAGCUCGUGUCGUGAGAUGUUGGGUUAAGUCCCGCAACGAGCGCAACCCUUAUUGUUAGUUGCCAUCAUUCAGUUGGGCACUCUAGCGAGACUGCCGGUAAUAAACCGGAGGAAGGUGGGGAUGACGUCAAAUCAUCAUGCCCCUUAUGACCUGGGCUACACACGUGCUACAAUGGCUGGUACAACGAGUCGCAAGCCGGUGACGGCAAGCUAAUCUCUGAAAGCCAGUCUCAGUUCGGAUUGUAGGCUGCAACUCGCCUACAUGAAGUCGGAAUCGCUAGUAAUCGCGGAUCAGCACGCCGCGGUGAAUACGUUCCCGGGCCUUGUACACACCGCCCGUCACACCACGAGAGUUUGUAACACCCGAAGUCGGUGAGGUAACCGUAAGGA
rnacentral:rRNA from 1 species